rnacentral:rRNA from 1 species
ACCUGACUGCUAUCGGAUUGGUACUAAGCCAUGUGAGUCAUUGUAGCAAUACAAGGCAUACGGCUCAGUAACACGUAGUCAAUCUGCCCUAUGGACGUGGAUAACCUCGGGAAACUGAGAAUAAUCCGCGAUAGAUCAUAAUGCCUGGAACGGUUUAUGGUCCAAAUGAUUCGUCGCCAUAGGAUGGGACUGCGGCCUAUCAGCUUGUUGGUGAGGUAAUGGCCCACCAAGGCUAUUACAGGUACGGGCUCUGAGAGGAGAAGCCCGGAGAUGGGUACUGAGACACGGACCCAGGCCCUAUGGGGCGCAGCGGGCGAGAAACCUUUGCAAUGUGCGCAAGCACGACAAGGUUAAUCCGAGUGUUUCCUGCUAAAGGAAUCUUUUGUUAGUUCUAAAACCACUGAUGAAUAAGGGGUGGGCAAGUUCUGGUGUCAGCCGCCGCGGUAAAACCAGCACCUCAAGUGGUCAGGAGGAUUAUUGGGCCUAAAGCAUCCGUAGCCGGUUCUGUAAGUUUCCGGUUAAAUCCACUAGCUCAACUAAUGGGCUGCCGGAAAUACUGCAGAACUAGGGAGUGGGAGAGGUAGACGGUACUCGGGAGGAAGGGGUAAAAUCCUUUGAUCUCUUGAUGACCACCUGUGGCGAAGGCGGUCUACCAGAACACGUUCGACGGUGAGGGAUGAAAGCUGGGGGAGCAAACCGGAUUAGAUACCCGGGUAGUCCCAGCUGUAAACGAUGCAGACUCGGUGAUGCACUGGCUUUUGGCCAGUGCAGUGCCGCAGGGAAGCCGUUAAGUUUGCCGCCUGGGAAGUACGUACGCAAGUAUGAAACUUAAAGGAAUUGGCGGGGGAGCACCACAAGGGGUGAAGCCUGCGGUUCAAUUGGAUUCAACGCCGGAAA